AACGAACGCUGGCGGCAGGCUUAACACAUGCAAGUCGAACGCAUCCUUCGGGGUGAGUGGCAGACGGGUGAGUAACGCGUGGGAACGUGCCCUUCAGUUCGGAAUAACCCAGGGAAACUUGGGCUAAUACCGGAUACGUGCGAGAGCAGAAAGAUUUAUCGCUGAAGGAUCGGCCCGCGUCUGAUUAGCUAGUUGGUGAGGUAAUGGCUCACCAAGGCGACGAUCAGUAGCUGGUCUGAGAGGAUGAUCAGCCACAUUGGGACUGAGACACGGCCCAAACUCCUACGGGAGGCAGCAGUGGGGAAUAUUGGACAAUGGGCGCAAGCCUGAUCCAGCCAUGCCGCGUGAGUGAUGAAGGCCUUAGGGUUGUAAAGCUCUUUCAGUGGGGACGAUAAUGACGGUACCCGCAGAAGAAGCCCCGGCUAACUUCGUGCCAGCCGCCGCAGUAACAC
rnacentral:rRNA from 1 species